GCCGGGGUAGCUCAAUCGGUAGAGCGUGUGGCUCUUAUCAAUCGAUAAAGUUCAACCUCAAGGUCGCGGGUUCGAGCCCCGCCUUCGGCU
rnacentral:tRNA from 1 species